UUGCUAUGCAACAGGUCGGCCUCC
rnacentral:piRNA from 1 species